rnacentral:rRNA from 1 species
GACGAACGCUGGCGGCGUGCCUAAUACAUGCAAGUUGAGCGAUGAAGAUUGGUGCUUGCACCAAUUUGAAGAGCAGCGAACGGGUGAGUAACGCGUGGGGAAUCUGCCUUUGAGCGGGGGACAACAUUUGGAAACGAAUGCUAAUACCGCAUAACAACUUUAAACAUAAGUUUUAAGUUUGAAAGAUGCAAUUGCAUCACUCAAAGAUGAUCCCGCGUUGUAUUAGCUAGUUGGUGAGGUAAAGGCUCACCAAGGCGAUGAUACAUAGCCGACCUGAGAGGGUGAUCGGCCACAUUGGGACUGAGACACGGCCCAAACUCCUACGGGAGGGAGCAGUAGGGAAUCUUCGGCAAUGGACGAAAGUCUGACCGAGCAACGCCGCGGGAGUGAAGAAGGGUUUCGGAUCGUAAAACUCUGUUGGUAGGGAAGAACGUUGGUGAGAGUGGAAAGCUCAUCAAGUGACGGUAACUACCCAGAAAGGGACGGCUAACUACGUG